ACAAAGGAAAAAGUGAAGCUGCCAGCAUGAUCUAGGUUUGAUUGGUUAUACGAUAGUAUAACAUAAUUUUGAUUAGGUCAUGCUGUGCUAGCCUCACUCCUUCCUAUU
rnacentral:pre_miRNA from 1 species